GGUGUUGGACAUGAUGGCCCUUGGGGGUCCCUUCCUCCUCAGGAUAUUCUGAUUGCUGAACUGCUCUUACAGCUUUUCAAAACAUUCCUACUUGUUCUUUGCUGCAUCUGUUUGAAAGUGUCUUGAAGAUGAAGUUAUUUCCUGGAGGAAUUCUGGGGUCUGUCAUUCUGGUUUGCUGCACUGAAGUGAGACUGUGAGCUCUCUGAAGGAUGGGAUGUCUCCUCAUGCUCCCUCGCUGAAAGUCAGAGCCUCUGUCACAGGAAGCCAUGAGCACAGAGCAUGAGCCAGGAAUACUUGCUUGGCCCACAGUAAAGCAGCGCCUGCAGCAAGCCAGCAGAGAAACAUCCCAAGAUACAGAUUUGAUUACACAGAAGCUGAAUUUCAGAAUCACCUGAGCACCCAGCAUCUUUCUUUCUGCACCUGCUGUCAGUGAGGCCACUCUCUAUUAAGGUUUCAAGACAUACAAUCUAAAUAUCCUUACUAGAUGUGCCCAUUAAAAAAUAAAAGAGUGUCUUAUUCAUAGAUGAAUUAUUAA
rnacentral:lncRNA from 1 species